rnacentral:lncRNA from 1 species
AUUCUCCUUCAAUCUAAGUAUUUGAUGGAAAGUUAUGCCUCCAUCGCUAGAACUCAUCACCAAAUUGAGCCUCCAUCAUCUCAUCACACCAUACAACUCCCUAGAUUAAGAACCUAGUAACCCAACAACACAUUAGUACCUAUCCUUUCUUCAUUCAUUCAAAAUCCUAAAAAUUCAACAACCAAAAAAAUAGAAAAGAUAACAUAAAAAAAAAAAACCAAAGAAUAAAGAUCCUAAAUACCCACAAGCCAUUGUGGUCAGUUUUAUUUAGUUCCUUUCCUUUCACGAG